rnacentral:rRNA from 1 species
UACGUAGGGGGCAAGCGUUGUCCGGAUUUAUUGGGCGUAAAGAGCGUGUAGGCGGCUUUACAGGUCCGUUGUGAAAACUCGAGGCUCAACCUCGAGACGCCGAUGGAAACCCUCGAACUAGAGUCCGGAAGAGGAGAAUGGAAUUCCUGGUGUAGCGGUGAAAUGCGCAGAUAUCAGGAAGAACACCCGUGGCUAAGGCGGUUCUCUAGUACGGUACUGACGCUGAGACGCGAAAGCGUGGGGAGCGAACAGG